GACAGUUGUUGGGUGAUGUGCCUUGGAAUUGGGCUCCUUCCUCUUUGGUUCUGGGUGCAUCACCCAAGAACCACA
rfam:Myotis lucifugus cont2.15520, whole genome shotgun sequence.